AAAAUUUUCAAUACAAAACUGCGAUGCCCUCUGUCCAAAAUUUUGGAAUCUCACAAUUACCGAAACUCUACAGUCAGUCUGGAGCCAUGAUUGGUAGACGACUCGAUAUGCAUGGUAGUCGCUAUCGUUCCCGUACAGUGGAAAAGUUGGUCUCAUUUAACCGCACGAAGGCAUUCAUCGCCAUAGAUUGCAAUCGCCUAAGUGACACAAUCCAUUUCCAAAGUUAAAACUCGGAGUUCAAAUCCGCAGUGCAACAUAUUUUCCUUGUUUACAUUUAGUUGGAUACUGCAAUCGUCGAGAGGCUCGGCAACGCGACACGUUAUCAGUGUUUACGAUCAUUCAGAAACUGCACUGGUUUCUAGUGUCAGCAGUCUGAUGCGAUUCCAAUGUUCAUGUGAUUCUGAAAUGACUCCGAGGUCACGCAAGUCGCAGUAACCUCGUUGUGUCGGAGCGUUACACAUACCUUUAUAUCAGUAAUCUGUGUCACAAUCACAACGCUUGCAACCCACUCAUCAGAUGAAUAAAAACCAAUCAAGACGAUGUUCACACUCCGUUGAUCAGCCUCACGAAUUACGUUUGUUUAAUUAGAACUUGCAGCGUAAACUGGAUCAAAGCCCCCAGGAAAGAUGAUUGUUGAUGAGGAGGUACGAUCAAAGUCUGUUCAUUACCAUCCUUGUAUGUAAACUAAACACGAUCUAAAAGCAGAUAGAUAAGUGCAAAAUGCUCGAGGAUGAGGAAGGGUAACCUUUGAGGAAAGGGAGAAAAUCUGGGACAAAAGCUUCAGCGUCGAUUCACAUCCAUGGUUAACCGCGGUAGUAAAAAAAAAAAAGAAAAAAUGGAACACAAAUCCAAGCUGGAAAAACUGUUUUCUUCGCGGUACUUUUCAUCACCGUGAGAAGGGAAGAGAAUCUCGGUCUGUCCAACAAACUUCCUCGAUGAUCUCGAACCGGCCGAGUGAAAAAUCUAAAACUGAUAAGACUAGAUAAAUUAAUACAUUAACUAGGAAAAAGUAUACGUUCGUCGAUAAGACGUUGAUAAUCGAUUUAUGUCCGGUGGAACCGGAAGUUUAAACUCAACGAAAGAUGGCAAUUUUUCUUGACCAUCCGAUUGUAAAAUCCUGCAAAUUUCAAGUGUUUUGACGGAGUCGUUUCCGUGAUCAUGGUGGGAAUUUGUCAGACGGACCAACGUUUUUCUAAAAGCUUGUUUCUUGGAUUCCAGAGGUUUCGAAAACGUUGAGAUUCGUAGAAAUUGGAAACAGUGAUUUUCCGUCGAAAUCUAUACGUUUCUUAUGUUAACAAAGAUUAUGAAAAGUAAAAAUACAUUGAAAUAAGUAAACGUUGGCUGACUGGAUAAAAAUUGAGUAGAGGGGAGUUUGAUAUAUGUAUGUUGCAUAAUUAUGGGAGCGAGGGGUGGAGGGCGAGAUAUGAAGCCUGUACGCCUGUCGGUAUAAAGCCUUCGCAUUCUGAACGCGUAUUGCCAUUUCGCUUCGUUUUUCCCGACACAUCUUACCUACUUUGCAAGUUUACGUCUCUUGCCGAACGCGAAGCAAAGAUUAUCUCGA